GACGAACGCUGGCGGCGUGCUUAACACAUGCAAGUCGAACGGAAAGGCCCUGCUUUUGUGGGGUGCUCGAGUGGCGAACGGGUGAGUAACACGUGAGUAACCUGCCCUUGACUUUGGGAUAACUUCAGGAAACUGGGGCUAAUACCGGAUAGGAGCUCCUGCUGCAUGGUGGGGGUUGGAAAGUUUCGGCGGUUGGGGAUGGACUCGCGGCUUAUCAGCUUGUUGGUGGGGUAGUGGCUUACCAAGGCUUUGACGGGUAGCCGGCCUGAGAGGGCGACCGGCCUCAUUGGGACUGAGGUACGGCCCAGACUGCUACGGGAGGCAGCAGUGGGGAAUAUUGCACAGUGGGCGGAAGCCUGAUGCGACAACGCCGCGUGCGGGAUGACGGCCUUCGGGUUGUAAACCGCUUUCGCCUGUGACGAAGCGUGAGUGACGGUAAUGAGUAAAGAAGCACCGGCUAACUACGUG
rnacentral:rRNA from 1 species